ACUAGCAUAUCAAUAAGCGGAGGAAAAGAAACCAACAGGGAUUGCCCUAGUAACGGCGAGUGAAGCGGCAACAGCUCAAAUUUGAAAUCUGGCCUCGGCCCGAGUUGUAAUUUGCAGAGGAUGCUUCUGGCGCGGUGCCUUCCGAGUUCCCUGGAACGGGACGCCACAGAGGGUGAGAGCCCCGUAUGGUCGGACACCAAGCCUGUGUGAAGCUCCUUCGACGAGUCGAGUAGUUUGGGAAUGCUGCUCUAAAUGGGAGGUAAAUCUCUUCUAAAGCUAAAUACCGGCCAGAGACCGAUAGCGCACAAGUAGAGUGAUCGAAAGAUGAAAAGCACCUUGAAAAGGGGGUUAAAUAGUACGUGAAAUUGUUGAAAGGGAAGCACUUAUGACCAGACUUGGGCCGGGCGGCUCAUCAGGGGUUCUCCCCUGUGCACUCCGCCCGGCACAGGCCAGCAUCGGUUCUCGUGGGGGGAUAAGACCGUCAGGAACGUAGCACCCUCCGGGGUGUGUUAUAGCCUGGCGGACGAUACCCCCGUGGGGACCGAGGUCCGCGCUCCGCAAGGAUGCUGGCGUAAUGGUCAUCAGUGACCCGUCUUGAAACACGGACCAAGGAGUCGUCCAUUAGAGCGAGCGUUUGGGUGUAAAACCCGCACGCGUAAUGAAAGUGAACGCAGGUGAGAGCUUCGGCGCAUCAUCGACCGAUCCUGAUGUUCUCGGAAGGAUUUGAGUAAGAGUUUUAACGGACUGACCCGAAAGACAGUGAACUAUGCUUGUAUAGGGUGAAGCCAGAGGAAACUCUGGUGGAGGCUCGCAGCGGUUCUGACGUGCAAAUCGAUCGUCAAAUAUGAGCAUGGGGGCGAAAGACUAAUCGAACUGUCUAGUAGCUGGUUACCGCCGA
rnacentral:rRNA from 1 species